GGAUGAAGAACGUAGUGAAAUGCGAUACGUAAUGUGAAUUGCAGAAUUCAGUGAAUCAUCGAAUCUUUGAACGCAUAUUGCGCUCUCUGGUAUUCCGGAGAGCAUGCUUGUUUGAGUAUCAGUAAACACCUCAACUCCCUUUUCUUUUUUGAAAUGGGAGCUGGACUUGAGUGAUCCCAACACUUUUCUCACUGGAAAGUGGCGGGUCACUUGAAAUGCAGGUGCAGCUGGACUUUUCUCUGAGCUAUAAGCAUAUCUAUUUAGUCUGCCUAAAAAACAGAUUAUUACCUUUGCUGCAGCUAACAUAAAGGAGAUGAGUUCUUGUGCUGACUGAUGCAGGAUUCACAGAGACAGCUUUGCGGCUGACUUUGUAAACUCGAUCUCAAAUCAAGUAAGACUACCCGCUGAACUUAAGCAUAUCAAUAAGCGGAGGA
rnacentral:misc_RNA from 1 species